rnacentral:misc_RNA from 1 species
GUAGCAUUUAUCAAGGGGUGGCUUCUUACCCUUGUCUUGAUGUCCUCUAUUCCCCUGCUAGUCUUAGCUGGUGCAGCCAUGUCUAUGACUAUAGCUAGAAUGGCAUCCCGCGGACAAAAUGCUUAUGCAAAAGCUGCUUCUGUAGUUGAGCAGACGAUUGGCUCAAUUAGAACUGUUGCGUCAUUUACUGGGGAGAAACAAGCCAUAAAUAAUUACAAGAAGUUUCUGGUUACUGCUUACAAUUCAGGUGUUCGUGAG